GGUGCCCCCUUGCUGGUGUGAGGUGUCACACCAGCAUCUCUCCUCCUUUGUUUGAUUGGAUUGUGAAGGUGAUUUAAUCAGAGUUCAUCCUGCUUCCUGUGUUGUCUGGCGUGCAUGUAAGUAGAGGGUUUGUACUUUCAGACCUCCAUAAAGGUUGAUUCCAGAUUAUUAGAGAUUUGAUUCUCAGUUUCACUACUAUUUGGGUAAAGAUUUGAUCUUUAUUCAUGUAG
rnacentral:lncRNA from 1 species